AUGAACGCUGGCGGCGUGCUUAACACAUGCAAGUCGCACGGGAAACCUUUUAUUGAAGCUUCGGCAGAUUUAGCUGGUUUCUAGUGGCGGACGGGUGAGUAACGCGUGGGUAACCUGCCUUAUACAGGGGGAUAACAACCAGAAAUGGUUGCUAAUACCGCAUAAGCGCACAGGACCGCAUGGUCCGGUGUGAAAAACUCCGGUGGUAUAAGAUGGACCCGCGUUGGAUUAGCUAGUUGGCAGGGUAACGGCCUACCAAGGCGACGAUCCAUAGCCGGCAUGAGAGGGUGAACGGAGACAUUGAGACUGAGACACGGCCCAGACUCCUACGGGAGGCAGCAGUGGGGAAUAUUGCACAAUGGGGGAAACCCUGAUGCAGCGACGCCGGGUGAAGGAAGAAGUAUCUCAGUAUGUAAACUUCUAUCAGCAGGGAAGAUAGUGACGGUACCUGACUAAGAAGCCCCGGCUAACUACGUG
rnacentral:rRNA from 1 species